GCUCGGGUGGUGAAAUUGGUAGACACGCAAGGUUGAGGGCCUUGUGAACGAUAAGUUCGUACGAGUUCAAGUCUCGUCCCGAGCA
rnacentral:tRNA from 1 species